rnacentral:rRNA from 1 species
AUUGAACGCUGGCGGCAUGCCUUACACAUGCAAGUCGAACGGCAGCAUGGAGAGCUUGCUCUCUGAUGGCGAGUGGCGAACGGGUGAGUAAUGCAUCGGAACGUACCGUGUAAUGGGGGAUAACGUAGCGAAAGUUACGCUAAUACCGCAUACGACCUGAGGGUGAAAGCAGGGGAUCGCAAGACCUUGCGUUAUACGAGCGGCCGAUGUCAGAUUAGCUAGUUGGUGAGGUAAAGGCUCACCAAGGCGACGAUCUGUAGCGGGUCGGAGAGGAUGAUCCGCCACGCUGGGACUGAGACACGGCCCGGACUCCUACGGGAGGCAGCAGUGGGGAAUUUUGGACAAUGGGGGCAACCCUGAUCCAGCCAUGCCGCGUGAGUGAAGAAGGCCUUCGGGUUGUAAAGCUCUUUCGGCCGGGAAGAAAUCGCACAGGCUAAUACUCUGUGUGGAUGACGGUACCGGCAUAAGAAGCACCGGCUAACUACGUGCCAGCCGCCGCCGUAA